rnacentral:misc_RNA from 1 species
GAUGAAGAACGCAGCGAAAUGCGAUAAGUAAUGUGAAUUGCAGAAUUCAGUGAAUCAUCGAGUCUUUGAACGCACAUUGCGCUCCCUGGUAUUCCGGGGGGCAUGCCUGUCCGAGCGUCAUUGCCGCCCUCAAGCACGGCUUGUGUGUUGGGCCCCCGCCCCCCGGCUUCGGGGGGCGGGCCCGAAAGGCAGCGGCGGCACCGCGUCCGGUCCUCGAGCGUAUGGGGCUUCGUCACCCGCUCUGUAGGCCCGGCCGGCGCCCGCCGGCGACCCCAAUCAAUCUUUCCAGGUUGACCUCGGAUCAGGUAGGGAUACCCGCUGAACUUAAGCAUAUCAAUAAGCGGAGGA